GACUACUUUAAACUAUUGUACUUUUGACUCCACUAACAUGAGUUAUAUUUAUGUUUUUAUAUUUAUAUGCAUAUAUGAUGUAAAUAAAUCCAACACUACUCACUAGAAAGAAAGAAAGAAAGAAAGAAAGAAAGAAAGAAAGAAAGAAAGAAAGAAAAAUAAGUGCUUGAGUUGUUGUGACUUGAAAGCUGUGAUUUCCGAGCUUUGGAGGAGCUCGUGAACGCCUCCUGUGUGCAGAUGUUGUUGUAUGCGGGUGUGGUGAAGUUUAAAACUCCUGGGAAUGUCGUGACAGUGAGGGAACCUGUCCGCUGCUCUGCUCAUGUUAUCUGGUACAAAGUUGAGGUGAAGUGUCUCUGAACUGUCUCCAAAUCAUCGGAAGGAUGGAGGCGUGUAUGAUGAAGCCGGAAGUCAAAAAGAAACCAAAGCCGCCUAAACCUCCUCCAAAACCUGCAGAGGCGAAAAGAAAUGACCCAGAGAGACCGGAGAAACCAAAUCCUCUGGUGCCUCCACGACCGACAGACUCUGAACUGAGUCAUACACAAUACCACAGGAAAACAGCAGCAACAGCAAACAAAGAGGUUAAUGAACACUUGAAACAAAGGGAGACAAAAGAGAAACCGGGUGAAACUCCUGUGGUUCCACCCAGACCAACAGACCAGGAAAUGAGGGCUACAACCAGGUACAGCCAGCGCAGGAGUGUACAGGCUGAAGACACACCGGUACACAAACACACAAACACACACACACACACACACACACACAUGCACACACACACACACACACACAAUUAUACCUUGUUCCUCCUCAUUUGUUUUUGUUUUUAAAUAAAAACACACUAAGGUCCUUCCUCUUCCUCAUCAGAGCUCCAGAACAAAUGCCCAAUCAGAAGAUGAAGCAGACUUCAUCAAACAGGUAUUUCUUUCGGAGUCAAUAACUUUCAGCUCUGACCUAAAUCAGUAUAGACAAAUAAUCGUGUCAUCGUGUCAACAACAGCAGCCGCUUCCAGGUAAACAACUGGCAGUUGAUUUUCAUUGUGGAGAUGAAUGAUACCAGCAGACCUGUCUUUUUCUGUUUAGCAUUUUAAUUCGUAACCGAAGCGUUUAAAGACAUAUUAAAAGACAAUGGUCCGACCUUUCUGAUAUUUCUGUUCAGCUGUUUUGCUAGCGUCUUUAUAUCUACCCACGAGUGACAUCUAACCUAACUGCGGGUUUGGGUUAACUCAGCCUUUCAUUGUCUUUAGUCCAGCAGGUAAAUAAGGUCUCCAGCUUAGUGUUAGUGAAAGCGUUAUUGUUAAUGAGAUAAGAAAAGCAUCAAACAUGCAUUUUGAGAUUAAUUGGAUGUACACACUUCGGUGACAAGAGAAUGAGACUCAAAAAUCAGCUAUCGUCAGAAUAGCUUUAAGACUUAACCUGCUUUAAUUGUCCACAUUAAUGCUUGUUUCUCACUGCUUUCUGUUUUCUCUCCCGGCAGCGUUAACUGCUUUCUUCAUCAGCCGUAAUUUUUAUAAACGCACCCAAAAACACUUUUCACCAACGAUUCUGUGGAGGACGCUUGUUGUUAAUGAUGUAGCCAAUAAACCAACAUGCACCAAAUGACAUUGCAACAGCCAGGUGCAGUUAAAACUUAGCACAUCACAACUGCAUUGGCCUACAUUAAAUUGGUGAGGUUGCAUCACAAUCAGUGCAUUUACAGGAGGGAUGCGAUACCAGAGAACGUUAGUCUCACUCUGUCUUCAGGGCAUGUGUGACGGUAGACAGGAAGAAAGAGCGAGGGCAGACUGUCCGGUAGUUAAUGCAUCAGGGGUUUUUUUUUAUUGGAUGGGGAGAAGAAAAAAAGAAAGAAUAAAAGGCUAAAAUGGGUUACCAAAUUUACUUGGGCGGCCAUUAAUAUACCUGGGUGUUCAGCCAAAAUUAAGUGUACGUUAAGUAUACUUGUGGGACACGCUGUUUAUACACUGUAUUCAUCUUCAUGUCCGUGUGUUUUGUUGCAGAGUAAUCAGACAGUCCUGACUGGGAUGUUUCAGCGGAGCCGAAAAGAAAAAACACCUACGUUCACUGUAAGUGAUGCACCUGUGGCUCUUCUCUGCACAAGACAUUUCAUUAUUAUGUGUUUUAUUUAUUUAAUAUUUUGGAGUAGAGCUGUGUUGUG
rnacentral:lncRNA from 1 species